rnacentral:rRNA from 1 species
UACGUAGGGUGCAAGCGUUAAUCGGAAUUACUGGGCGUAAAGCGUGCGCAGGCGGUUAUGCAAGACAGAUGUGAAAUCCCCGGGCUUAACCUGGGAACUGCAUUUGUGACUGCAUGGCUGGAGUGCGGCAGAGGGGGAUGGAAUUCCGCGUGUAGCAGUGAAAUGCGUAGAUAUGCGGAGGAACACCAAUGGCGAAGGCAGUCCCCUGGGCCUGCACUGACGCUCAUGCACGAAAGCGUGGGGAGCAAACAGG